AAGUAAAUGGUCAUAGACAAAAAUACAUCGUUCAGGAGGGGACGAACGAGGGUAUAUAAAAUAUUACGUCUCUUGUUUCUUGUUGAUAAACCGGCUAGCGGGUCUUUGUGUAAAUUCUAAUUUUUAUAAAUAAAAGAUUAUGAUACGAUAUUUACGACGAAAAACACGAUCCAAAGUGAUAGAUCCACUUACCGCUGGAUGUUCGGCGACUACAUUGCGCAAUGUAACGCUCCAGUUAUAAUUCGUUCAACGUUAUUUACAAAAACACCGCGCAUUCCGUAUGAGAAACGCGACUGUGCCACUUCACGAUUUAAUAAACAUUUGCAUUUUAUCGAAUUUGCCCGUUUGGUAUCGCGGAACGAUAUGAAAACUUGGAAGCUCGUUGCCCGGUACACGGUGUACGCGUGAACGCGCCAAAGUAAUUGCAAAUUUAAUAUUACGACGUGUACGUACGUCACACGGUUGAAAGGGUUAUUAGUGUAGCCGGUUGUAUUCAGACAACUCAGAUACAGAAAGCUGGUUAUAUAAAUUUAAUCUAUCUUCUAUCCAGGACAGACGCGUUCUCUUCCAUAACAAACCAUCACGUUGCUCGGCGUUAGUUUGCCUUUUGUAUUUAUUCUGCUGUUCUUUCGAUGGAACAUACCGAGGAAACAUUGUAUUCGUCUUUCUCGGUCAACCGGUUCGUAUGUAAUUCAUCAACCGACGUUAACUUCGGCUCGUCUCCACGAAAUUGCAUUAUGUAUUCCAUCAUAAAGGUGAAUUCGAUGAAACGUUGCGACGAGGAAAAAUUCGAGAUGUAACGUGGCUCCUUCGUAUCUUUUCCUCAGACAGGGUACGUUAGACGGUAUUAAAUGCAGGAUUAUUCGACGAUAGGAAUGGAAGAGAGGAAGAAAUGUGAAAAGGACACGUCAUGAUUAUAAUUCUAUAUACUUGUUACAACUGAAGAGUUCGAAGGAAAUCUAUGCAAAGUAUUGGACGAAAAUGGCAAUUGUUGUAUUGCAAAAAGGUAUAUCUUAUUUCCAUGCAAGAAACAUUCGGAAUAAAAAUAGCGUAUGAAGAAAACGAUAACGUGUUUACGUUACAAAAUGCCGAUUAGGCCGGUUCGACGAUCCAUUUCAACGUGCUGUUAUUUCACGUUUUACGCGUUGGGUGGUGGCCAACUUUUUCAGUAUUUCGAUGCAUGAAUCAAGGAAACGAUUUCAGCCUCUCUGGGUGUUCGCGUGACACGUGUAUGUCGAAAGUGAAUCCCGUAUGACAUUUGCGGAGCGUAUUUUUGGCAAGAAUCGUAUGCACCUUCAAUUUCACUUCCUGGUUUGUCUUCGUUCUUACGCAAUCUUUAACUCUAUUUGUGGACAAAAUAAAUCGAUGCGUUUCUCUUUCUGUCGCAGUAGAUUCCCAAAAAUUAAUCAUUCUGUAACACGUAUUUCAAUCCUAAAAUAUAAAUGAACCACCUGUAUCGAAAUAGACGCAUUAUCGCGCGAAUGUCAGAUUAAAGAUUAUAUUCCAUUCAAUUUUUUAAUAUCUUAUAUCACAUUCACAUUUAAUAUGUACGUUCAUGCGUAAAUGAAAGUUUUCUUUUGUUAUAAGAAAGAAGUAUCUUUUAAAUCGAUCAAGAUACUAAUAUGAAAUUUUAAGAAUAAUAAUUAUUAUUAUAUUCGAUUAUUACAUAUAUCUUCUAUACAUCACAAUUUACAUACUAUAGUAUGAUUACUUCACAGAAAAUAUCAACUAACGUGCCUCGCCACUAAACCGUUAAUCGCGAUAAAUUUUUAUAUUAAAGUUAAAAAUCCUCCCAAUUACAGAGAAAAUUUUAUUGACUAUGUCGUCAUGCAAAUCCAUUACGAAAAUCGUGUACUGGUGUAUCCAAUUAAUUUCAGUUGCAAGUUGCGUGGCAAGUCAUCGGAAGCUGAAGAUAUUUAAUGAAGUUUCUCGAGAUCCUGGCGAGUGGCUCGACGCAAAAGUCUUUCAAUGAGAAGCCUUCGUCGCCGCGAAAGUGGCGACGAGAGAAUGUCAAGAACUAAACGCUUCGACGGGGAAACAGCAACGGCUUCGCCGCGUAAUUGGAAAACUUCCGGUGCCGUAUAAGUUGCCGGAAGUUGCGGCCAAAGACUCUUAUGGAGUCCGGUUAUCAGGGAUGUCGAGUCUCUCGAUGCAGUUACAAACCGAUAAAUCACUCAUUGUGAGCCCGAUCAUACUGUCAUUUUCUAUAAUUGCUAAGUUAUAAUUGUUUCUCUUUUCUAUGAAUAUUUUAAGAUUUCUAGUGGCGUAUAGUUAAAGUUUUACGAUUUAAAAUUGAAGGUAUACGUUAUAAACUAUAAAAGAUCUUUGCUCGAUGAAGCUAGAUAAAUAAUUUGACAGUAUUAAAAAUUCAAUUAAUUUCCGUUAAAUAUUGAAGCGUGAAUACGUGGAAAUUAAAUAAGAAACUGUAGGGAAGUGAUUAAUCCUUAACUGCUAUGAUGAAAUGAAAAUAUGAAAAUUAAUUACAGAUAUCAUAUGGAACUCUUACGUUACAAGUUUUCCAAAUUGUGAAUUGUUGCAUCUAUUGCAUCGAUUAUGAAAAAUGAAAACGUUCUUUUACGUAUAAUAUCUAUGUUAAAUUAUAUGCUUACAUGCGACGAUGUGACAUUAUUUAGAUCCAAUAAAACAAUAAAAGAUUUGUGUAGAUGUUAGUGCUUAAAAUGCUUAAACGUCUGUGUACUAAUUUAAUCGUUUAUUGUCUAUAAUUUAAAAUAUAAGUUAUUUAGAAUAUAACUUAAAAAGAAAACAGAAAAAUUAUGUCGUACAUCGUAUCUCGUACCUAGGUCGAGUUCAUAAAUAACAAAGCAGAUAAGAAGUUUCCCCGCGAUUCUAUCUCGCAAUAUUUUCAACUUCACGAACUCUAAUAUUUAAUGUUAUCCAAUGUUUCCAUUCCUGCUACCGUUUCUGAAUUAUUUAUUUGUCACGAGGAGAAGAAACAUAACGUCCACCCCUAUCCGGCAUAUUUUCAACUUUGUGCGCUGUAACAUUUAACGUCCCACAAUAUUUCUUAUGCAACUCAGUUCCAACAAAUUAAUUUUUUAUACCUGGAGCUUUAUUUUUAUUGCCUUUGACAUAUGCACCGUUCUUGUUUCGUUUACUUUGGCCAGUUAUUAUUCAAGGUUGGCAAAGAAAAUUCUAGCACGAUACUGCAAAGGGAGAUCUGCAAUUUACAAACGUGGCGCAUCAUACUCGAGGGAAAACCAUCUGAGAGUUGUCCACUUGCAAGAUCAUUCGAGAGACAGGGAAAUAUGUAGCUGGCAAUCCACCUCUCGAGGACAAAUAUUUGCAGACAUGGUCUAUUAAAGCGUCUGCAUAAAACAACGAAGAGUAUAAAAAAGGGGAAAACAGCGAGAAAAUAGGGACCAUAAAACAGCAAGAACAGGGAAGGUAGAAAAGAAGUAAAAUAUGUAGAAAUUAUAAUCGAUGUUCGUAUAAAAACGGUGUAAAAUGUUAGAACUUUGUACAAGUAAAAAUGCAGCAAAACUAUGAGUUACUAUGAUUUUGAUGCUAUUGCUAAUAUUAUAUAAAAUUAAUAUUGUUAA